UAAGAAACAAAGAAAAGAUUCUAAUCAAUAAAUAUACAAAACUGAACUUCAGUGUUGUGUUUGUUGAUUGUAUAUAUGUUGAAGUGAGAUUUAUGUUUGGUGAUCAGAAAUAACAAGUAAUGAGAGUUAACAAAUGUUCCUUCACAGUUGAAGACAAUCUACUACUUUUUCCAAACCUCCUGCAGGAUGACAGGGGAUGGCAGCAGGAAGGGUGUGAACCCAGGACCAUCAAGAUAACCAAACCACAGUCCGGUGUGCAUACCACCUGGCCAGACAGCCAUCUUAUGAGCCAUAUAUAAUGGUGCAAGUGACAAAUACAGAAUUGUAGAAAAGGUAUUGAGACAUUUAGCACCACUGUUUAAUACAGGAGUAAAAUGAAGGCAAUAUCCCAUUGCCGCAUUUAAUGUUUGUGGUGAUGUUUAAAUGCAGUCGGUCAAAAGAACAUUUCAGAUUAGGUUGGAUUAGAUCUUCCAAUUUAGUAGGAAAUUUUUUCAUAAUUCACAUGCUGAGUGCCUAUACUUUGUUGUAGAUCGUUUCGAAAAACUUGUUUGCAAAUUUAUUUUUUAAUAAACAAAGUUGAUAAACAACA